rnacentral:tRNA from 1 species
UGGGGAAUAGCUCAGUUGCAGAGCGCAUGCUUAGCAGGCACGAGGUCCUGAGUUCAAUCCCCAGUACCUCCA